UGCUCUCCGGACAGUCCCGGGCCAGAGAGGGGCGUGUGCUCAAGAAGCAGGUGUCUGCCCCCCUUACUGCAGCUCAGAGAUGGGGGUAGACAGACUGUGUCUAAGCUUUCUGGGGUACAUUGUCUCCCAGGGUAAACCCUGCCUCCCAGGUCUAAACAAGAUGCACAGCACACAUGAGCGUGUUCAGAAAGCCCAGCUAUGACGGAGCACCCACUGCGUGCCAGACCCACAAAAGGCCCAGGCAACAGCAUUUCCAUUGAAAACAGAACACUUCAAAGCAAACUGGUCAAAACAUCUAAGAGACCUUACAAUCCAGGAUGAGGUGAAAUCUCUGGGGAAUUCUGAUUCUAUCAACUCAACAGUAAAAAGACAUGUUAAGAGAAUUGAGAAAAGAUAAAGAUAGCUGGGCAUUCGAUUAUAUUAGCUAAUUGUUUGGAGUGUGAUAAAAAUAAAAUUAUCAGUGGAAUUCUCUAUUACCAUGGAGUGUUUAUAGGUGAAAUUACAUGACUGGAAUUUGCUGUAAAACAUUCCUAGAGAGAAAAUUAAAAAUUACAGGAGGUAGGUAACAGCUGGCUAUUGUAGCUAAUUGUUGAAACCCUAGUUGGGCUCCCAAA